AGAGUUUGAUCCUGGCUCAGGAUGAACGCUGGCGGCGUGCUUAACACAUGCAAGUCGAACGGGGGCAGGAGGAAACCUAGUGAAUCCUGCCCUAGUGGCGGACGGGUGAGUAACGCGUGGGCAACCUGCCGCAUACCGGGGGAUAACACUUAGAAAUAGGUGCUAAUACCGCAUAAGCGCACAGAGCCGCAUGGCUUGGUGUGAAAAACUCCGGUGGUAUGCGAUGGGCCCGCGUCUGAUUAGCUUGUUGGCGGGGCAGCGGCCCACCAAGGCGACGAUCAGUAGCCGGCCUGAGAGGGUGGACGGCCACAUUGGGACUGAGAAACGGCACAGACUCCUACGAGAGGCAGCAGUGGGGAAUAUUGCACAAUGGGGGGAACCCUGAUGCAGCGACGCCGCGUGAGUGAAGAAGUAUUUCGGUAUGUAAAGCUCUAUCAGCAGGGAAGAAAAUGACGGUACCUGACUAAGAAGCCCCGGCUAACUACGUGCCAGCAGCCGCGGUAAUACGUAGGGGGCAAGCGUUAUCCGGAUUUACUGGGUGUAAAGGGAGCGCAGACGGCUGUGCAAGUCUGGAGUGAAAGGCGGGGGCCCAACCCCCGGACUGCUCUGGAAACUGUAAAGCUGGAGUGCAGGAGAGGUAAGCGGAAUUCCUAGUGUAGCGGUGAAAUGCGUAGAUAUUAGGAGGAACACCAGUGGCGAAGGCGGCUUACUGGACUGCAACUGACGUUGAGGCUCGAAAGCGUGGGGAGCAAACAGGAUUAGAUACCCUGGUAGUCCACGCCGUAAACGAUGAUUACUAGGUGUCGGGGGGGUAGGCCCGCCGGUGCC
rnacentral:rRNA from 1 species